rnacentral:sRNA from 17 species
CGGGUGAUGGCCGCCGGCGGCCACUUCGUGGCAGGUGAACCUGUCCUGUCCUGCGUACCGGCUCUGGAGAACAGUUCCGGGGAUCAUCCCUUCCUCACGGGAGGGCAACCACGGGGCCUGCCACCUGGUCACGCGCCGCCCUGCUGGCGUCAGAGCAGUGACGAUGACGCGCCCG